UACGGAGGGUGCAAGCGUUAUCCGGAUUCAUUGGGUUUAAAGGGUCCGCAGGCGGGCUUGUAAGUCAGGGGUGAAAGCCGACAGCUUAACUGUCGAACUGCCUUUGAUACUGCAAGUCUUGAGUGAGGUUGAAGUAGCUGGAAUGUGUAGUGUAGCGGUGAAAUGCUUAGAUAUUACACAGAACACCGAUAGCGAAGGCAGGUUACUAAGUCUUAACUGACGCUGAGGGACGAAAGCGUGGGGAGCGAAC
rnacentral:rRNA from 1 species